GGUGACCUCGAUCAGUAGGUACCCAAGGGA
rnacentral:rRNA from 1 species